UACAGAGGUCUCAAGCGUUGUCCGGAAUUAUUGGGCGUAAAGAGCGCGUAGGCGGUCCGAUAAGUCGGCUGUGAAAGUCAGGGGCUCAACCCUUGGAAGCCGGCCGAUACUGUCGGACUAGAGUCCGGAAGAGGCGAGUGGAAUUCCCGGUGUAGCGGUGAAAUGCGCAGAUAUCGGGAGGAACACCAAUGGCGAAGGCAGCUCGCUGGGACGGUACUGACGCUGAGGCGCGAAAGCGUGGGGAGCAAACAGGG
rnacentral:rRNA from 1 species